CAUUUUAGCAUUUUUUAUGUCACUUUCUCUCGUAGAUGGAAUGUAUUAUGGUGAAUUAUAGUAAUUCGUUUUGUUAAUAUCGAUGAGUGCCUGCGUAUUUCUUAAUAAAGUUGUUCUUAAACGAAGUAAAUAGCCGGAAAUAAAAAAUCAUUCGUAACUUUUAAACGGUUGAACCUGGAUACCUUAACCAAAAAAUCUUACAUUCAGCCAAUCGAAAUUAUCCCGUCAUCCCGUGCGCUCCCGAAAACGACGGGUGGAGAAAACAUGGCGGAAAAGCAGGAUAAAGAAAGAAAAUUUAAGUAGAAUAAUAUCUCGUAUUAUACAAUCUUAAAAAGCAUCGUAUAGAGUGAAAAAAACAAUGUUUAUACCUCUCAAUAUACUAUACGCUUUGUGAUACUGUAAGAAAUUUAUUCGAAACAUGAAGGCGGGAUAUGACGUGGCGAAGUUAAUCAUCGAUGUUUUCCAUACUCUCGUAUCAGCUUUUUCAAGGACAUGUGAUUUCAUAACAUUUUGGAAUUAAAACAGGAGA